rnacentral:rRNA from 1 species
CCUACGGGUGUCUGCAGUAGGGAAUCUUCCACAAUGGGCGAAAGCCUGAUGGAGCAACGCCGCGUGGGUGAAGAAGGUCUUCGGAUCGUAAAACCCUGUUGUCAGAGAAGAAAGUGCGUAAGAGUAACUGUUCACGUUUCGACGGUAUCAAACCAGACAGCCACGGCUAACUACGUGCCAGCAGCCGCGGUAAUACGUAGGUGGCAAGCGUUAUCCGGAUUUAUUGGGCGUAAAGGGAACGCAGGCGGGCGUUUAAGUCUGAUGUGAAAGCCUUGGGCUUAACCGGAGUAGUGCAUUGGAAACUGGGAGACUUGAGUGCAGGAGAGGAGAGUGGAACUCCAUGUGUAGCGGUGAAAUGCGUAGAGAUAUGGAAGAACACCAGUGGCGAAAGCGGCUCUCUGGUCUGUAACUGACGCUGAGGUUCGAAAGCGUGGGUAGCAAACAGGAUUAGAUACCCUUGUAGUC